AAAAUGUGUUAUGAUUAUAUAUUAAAUAUAUUUAUAUAUCAUAUAAAUUAUAUUAAUAAAUAUAUACAUGUAAAUACAUGUAAAUCUUUUCAAAAUAUAUACUGUAUGUGUGUGUCUUUAUAUACACAUAAUAAAUAUACACAGUACACACAGAUAUAUUAUAUAAACAAAAACUUUUAUUUUGGAUGCGAUUAAUCGUUGCCCAGCACUACUCAAAAUAUGAUUGGUGGUGAACACAUUUAGAAAUGACUUAACUGUGAGUUUUUUUUGUCAGGUUUACAGUUAUGUUCGUGAGGUGUAGAGAUGUUAGCCUACAGAAGAGUGAAAGUUUCUCAGGCCGUUUUCAUUUCCUGAAAUAAGAUCCUCUCGCCUUCAUUCCCGCCGAGGCCUAGUUUUACUAACGUUACGAGUCUGAAGCAGCCACAUUUGGGCGGUUUUCUACUCAGAGGAGAGAAUUCAUCAAAUGAAUUGGCCCAGACUUCUGAAGUGAAGGAAGCUCCUCAUAAGAUUGCAAACCUGGAGUCUGAUGAUACCGAGCGAGAGCGAUGGAGGGAGCAGAAUGAUGAAGAUGAAGCCAGAAUUAAGCCAAGUUCCUGGCUUUUCCCAAGACAUUCAAGGACACGAUUGACCUCGGAAUCAGCUGUAAAGGAGGAUGAAACCGAAGUCUAAGAAUGGGACAGCGAUAUUGCAUCAAUUUGUCUCCUUCAUUUGAUUCCACCAUCAUCACAAGGCUGCAAGGGACCUGGAAAAAUGUCCUCCUAUCAAACUGAAAAACAUCUUCAAAAAGGCACUAACCAGAAGAUAGGACAAAUAUCGAAACUCUUUGGUCAUUUUUGAACGCGAUGCUACUGGUCUAAUCGGAUUCAAUGAUCUAUGCUAAGCUAUGCUAAAAGUGCUAUCGCCAGACCUGGAGAUCGGCUGAAUGGAUUCAAAAACGGAGCACUUUUGUGAUGCUGCAAGUGGGAGUUGGGUAUCUUGCUUGGCUGAAAGCUGCAGAGAAACACAUCUCGUCUUGCUGAAAACUACUCUUUACAAGGAGGUCCAAACAACAUUAGACACUUUGUUCAGUGAGCAUUAACAUGCAUUCUGCCUGGAUGCUAAUGAAUGGGAUGCUGUUGUUUAAGCUGAUAAAUGUAAGCAUUAUAAACCUUAUGACAUUAAGUGUACAUAUGGACCAAAUAAGAAUAUGUAUUUUGUGCCUUUGCACUGAUUUGCUUUGACAUUAUGAUGUUUUAAUUGUUGUAAGAACAUGUUCUUUACAUGCAUUGAAAACAUUGAAUGUGAAAACAUUUUGACUCCGGGAAAAAGUACAAUGUUUCAAUUAAAAAAUUAUAAUUGUAAAAGUGUAUUGUUUUGUGGGUUUAUUUUUUAAAUAUUCUUACCUGAACAUUGGUGCAGUGUUCACCAGUUGUGGGAGUUAAAUUCACUCUUUAGAAUUUGCAGUGUAGGUAUAUGUUUUAAUCUGCAUUACCAUUUUAAAAUAAGUAUUUACAAUAUUUAAAUUAAGUCAACAUUAAAUAAAUAUACUGGGUGUGUAGGAUUAAUCACUAUAAAGUGUUUACUGUAUACUUGCGAGUAAUAAUUUCUUAACACCCUUAGUGAUUAAA